rnacentral:rRNA from 1 species
GGGGAAUAUUGCACAAUGGGCGCAAGCCUGAUGCAGCGACGCCGCGUGGGGGAUGACGGCCUUCGGGUUGUAAACUCCUUUCGCCAGGGACGAAGCGUUUUGUGACGGUACCUGGAGAAGAAGCACCGGCUAACUACGUGCCAGCAGCCGCGGUAAUACGUAGGGUGCAAGCGUUGUCCGGAAUUACUGGGCGUAAAGAGCUCGUAGGUGGUUUGUCACGUCGUCUGUGAAAUUCCACAGCUUAACUGUGGGCGUGCAGGCGAUACGGGCUGACUUGAGUACUGUAGGGGUAACUGGAAUUCCUGGUGUAGCGGUGAAAUGCGCAGAUAUCAGGAGGAACACCGAUGGCGAAGGCAGGUUACUGGGCAGUUACUGACGCUGAGGAGCGAAAGCAUGGGUAGCAAACAGGAUUAGAUACCCUGGUAGUCCAUGCCGUAAACGGUGGGCGCUAGGUGUAGGGGCCUUUUGGGGUUUCUGUGCCGUAGCUAACGCAUUAAGCGCCCCGCCUGGGGAGUACGGCCGCAAGGCUA